GUAAUAAGUUUAAGUAUAAAGUUAAAAUUUAAAUAGUUUUUAAGAUACUACCUUUAAAUUUUCUAAUUCCUGAAAUUUUUCCUUUUGAGCCAUGUACUUCACGUAUUUGCUGUUACUCAUUUCAACCUGGGGAUUAGUGAAGCACACGUGAAAGAACGAAGAAAUUAGGCUAGUUACUUCUCUACUAAUAGAGAUUGUUUCAGAAAACCAAGUUUGAAGUGCGACAUGACUGCAAAAGUAGAUCAAGUACUUGCAUUGCACCAAUAAACAUUGCUGUAAUCAAAUACUGGGGUAAAAGUGAUGAAGAACAAAUCAUCCCCUUGAAUGACUCUGUUUCAAUAAGGCUACUUUGAUCAUCCCCUUGAAUGACUCUGUUUUAAUUAGGCUACUUUGGAUACUGAUAUAUAUGCAAUUUAAAUUAUUUAUUCUUUCUUGUAAAUGAUUAAGCUUCAAUUUAGUUGGUACAACCAUAUAUGCCUACUUUAGAUGUUCACUAAGACCACUGCCAUCAUCAGCCCUGAAUUUGCACAAGACAGUAGGGUAUCACUAAAACUCGGGGGUCGGGGGUCGGGGAACUAAAACUCGGGUAUUUCACUCGAGGGUCGCCAUUUUGUCGUCUGCUAUCAAAUUUGUUCCCGAGUUUUAGUCCGUUCAAAACUCCGACUAAAACUCGGGGAUUUUAAACUCGGGGAUUUUAAUUAAAAACCCUAUUUGACUCUGAACUUUGACAAUAUUCGAAUUAUAAUUAUCCCUGAGGGUAGGUAGUACUUGUACUACCAGAAGGCGAUUCAUCUGGUAAUACUAAAUUUAAUUUUUUAAAAUGCGGAUUUAGUCGUUGUUUUCUGACUUUGGACCACCACAACAUCAAUUAGGUUGUGUGUUGACAGUCUGUAGCUCUCUGUGUCCGUCUGUUGACCAGAGGUGUGUGUAGUUUAACCGUUCUAUGAAGUGUUUAAACCAUUUAAGAUGUUCAAGGUGAAAUAAAAUUUGGCACUUUCAGUAUUUAGAAAACAAUGAAAGAUACUACACACAAAGCCUUUCGGUAUUUGCUGAAAGAAGAGUUUGAAGAGGAUCCUACGAAAUAUGAGAGAGCCCUUACACUGCUUGAAGAAAUCAAACAAGUAGGUUACUCUAUUUUAACAUACAUUUUACUUCUUGACAUAAAAGUUCUAAUGCUGAACACUUAUUAUAAUUUAGUGGCUGCUGUCCUUAUUGUUACCCCAUCAGACCAGAACUCGACAAAAAAUCAAGGAUAAGUUAGGCACAGAUCUGAUAAGGCAACAAAUGCAACAAAAGCUGUAGCUACAUGUCCAACAAGAAAUUCUACUGAUAUUCAGUAGAAUUGAGAGAAGGGUUUGAAUAAGUAUGUACAAGUCAAAGGAAUCCAGUAAUCAGCGUUCCAUUGCUGCUCAUCAAGCCACUCAUCAGAUCGAAAUAAAUUUUUGGUAUUUGUCCAAAUGCCUUGGCGGCAUAACUUCACUGCAUCUUUGAAUGGUAAGACAAUGCUUAGUAGUCUGAAAAGUUUCAGAAAAGUUGAAACUGAUGGAUGGUUAUUUUUACCACUGGCAUUUCUAAAAAGUCCGAAAAAUCUCUACAGAAAAGGAAACUCAAGUUAAAGCUUAUUUUGUUACUUUUAGAACCGGUAAAUUUACCUCGAUGCAGUCUUGGUUAAAUUUUCUUGU